UGAUAGAUACAACAUCUUUGCUUUGCCUGAGAUUCCAGCCUAGCUGAACACCCAGGCCAUUCCCAGUUUACAAAUAGAGGGCAAAGAGCAAAAUGAUCUCUGAGAUGAGUUUCCGCUUGCUUCUUCUGCUGGUGUGUUGGCCUCUGACCCCAUCUAUUUUCAUUCUUGUUUUAAUUUGAUGAGACAGGUGGUCAAGACAUACAUCAUUCCAGGAAGCUAUAAAAAGGCAUGGGGAAGCAUGUUAUCUGCUGAGAAGAAAGGCAUGAGAAAACACACAACGACAAAACAGCAUGAGAAGCAGGAAAGAAAAAGAAUGGUGUUACCUGUUAUAGAUGUAGGAGUCCAAAUGACAAAGCCUGGUGCAGUCAGAAGAGCAAACAUCUGGGAGAAAAAAUAGCAACCCCAUAUCCUUAUCUGGCCUCCUCAGCUGGACAGGCCUGAAAUCACAGACCCAGGGAAGCCAGGUGGCCAAGCUGAAGCCCAUGAGCCCACAGACAUCAAGGACACGACAUCUGGGAAUGGGACAAGAAAAUGGGUCAGUGCUAGGUAGGCAGUCAAAGAUCCAACAUAGACAAGAGACACACAGAGUCCUUGGAAUCCGGCUUGCUUGUCUCCAAGCCUUGGAGCUGUCCCGGGUACAGCAGAAGACUCUCAGUUACUGAUUAUUUCCUGAGCAGGAUCAGCUGGGCCCGGUGUUCAGAUCUAUCUACAGGGCAGGUCUGUCAUAGCAUCGAUCAUGCAUGACUGCAUGUAACCAUAAACCACAGACGCUGGACAAACAGAAUCCACUGUUUCUGUAGGUCUCUACAGUGGAUAUUUAUCAGAUUUUAUUGCGAGGAAUAACCUGGCUUCCUCAUGGGGAAUUAUCCUUCCACUACUGUCUGUGAUUUGGAGAAAAAAAAUCACGAACUCCAACUGAAUUUCCCACCAACAGGGCCGAUCUUGUGAUUACCGUCCUCACUGCACUUACAGCCCUGGGGGUAGUGAUGUGACCUCAGCUCAACCUAUCAAACACUUGGACUUGAAACUGUGAGCCGGUGAAGUGAGAAUAUGAGAACAACUGGGGUGCCACUUAUUGCAGCAGCCGCCUUUGGGGCACCAAGAGACACAGCUGUGAUGCCAGCAACUGCUCCGAAAGAAUGAUCUUGGAGGGGGAAGAGGCUGCCCACACUUUUGCAAGCCCCCUGUGCACUCCCUUCAUCCUGCCAAGAAGUCCCUAAGCGCACCCAUCAAAUCAGCUGACUUUCCUUCCGUGUCGUCAGUACAUAGCUCUUGCCCGCAGACCAACAAGUCAGUCUGAAACCCUGGAAUGCUGCCCUGAAGUAUCUGUGAAGACACAGAUUUUCACACAAUCGUGGUUUGAACUGGCAAGCCAGUGGCUCCUCCAUUUUUCAGCUAAGUGUGUUUGACACAACACUACAUUCUGUGUCUAUGCUCCCUCCCCACAUCCCAGGGCGUGCUCACCGUUACAGAUCCACUGGACUGUUGACUCUUCUGGGCCAGUGGUCCCCAAAGGAAGAGGAGUCAUUUUUCUUUCCCUGGGGCCCUGUGAUUCCUGCCACUAUGGUGAAAAGUGGGGGGAUGCUGACCUAAAGUCAAUUUGCUGAGACCAAGGGGAACUACCCCAGUGGCUCUGCUCCUUGCACUCAGGAACACUCUUGAGCUUGAGCUGGGAGAGAAGUCAAUGCGUGGUGGGGGCUGGGCUUGAGCUACUGGCUAGUGAGCACGUUUGGGCAGAUAGAUUGCCAUUAAAAAUGUCAUUUUGAAAGUUAGGAAAGCAUACACACAUAUGCAACUCAACAGAUGUUCCUAUCCGUCCUCCUCUUCCUUCUAGAGCACUCACAGGAAACACAUGUCUGUGUUGUCCUAAGUCCAGUUACUAAUUAGCACGUUUCAGUAGCACAUUUCACGGAGGAUAGGGAGGAUUUCAAAGGGAUUCCUUCCUUUUAAGUUGAGACAGCUGGUGCUAAUUACCAAGCAGGAAAAGAAUGUGCAAACAGAACAUUGAGAAGCCCUCGGUGAAGCAGAAGGCUGAGGGGUCUUUUGGUCCUACUGUAGAACUUUCCUCCAGGGGUUGGAAGGGGCUGCAGAUUACCCACCUCUUCACCUUACCCCCAGGAAGCAGCUGCCCAGUUUCAUCACCCUGCAAAGAGGUGGGAAACACAGUCCAAGAACAUGGGCUCAAAAGUCAUCCACAGUCUUCACGUAAAUUUCACAGAGAUCUAGUCAGAGCUCUCCUGGUAAACCAACUUCCCCACUGUCGAAAAUACACAGUGAAAUAAAAGCUAAGCGUGGCCAUUCCCUUUUUCAGUAACUCAGGGGAUUAUCGAUUCCAAGUUCAUCUUUGUAAUCAAGUGCUAUGAACUGAAAGCAAUCCAGACUCUCCAGAUGACGUGUGGUAGGGAAAGCAGGCCUCUUGAUUCAAAUUCACUCAUACCUCGAAUGGAAAGAGCACUACAAACACCAAGAGAUCUCUGACACACACUAAGUAUAAGACUUUGGGAAAGUACGACCCAACAAUUGCACUGCUGGGAAUUUACCCCAAAGAUGCAGAUGCAAUGAAACGCCGGGACACCUGCACCCCGAUGUUUCUAGCAGCAAUGUCCACAAUAGCCACACUGGAAGGAG